rnacentral:rRNA from 1 species
GACGAACGCUGGCGGCGUGCUUAACACAUGCAAGUCGAACGGAGUGCCUAUGACAGAGGUUUCGGCCAAUUGAUUAGGUUACUUAGUGGCGGACUGGUGAGUAACGCGUGAGGAACCUGCCUUUCAGAGGGGGACAACAGUUGGAAACGACUGCUAAUACCGCAUGACGCAUGACUGGGGCAUCCCGGACAUGCCAAAGAUUUUAUCGCUGAAAGAUGGCCUCGCGUCUGAUUAGAUAGUUGGCGGGGUAACGGCCCACCAAGUCGACGAUCAGUAGCCGGACUAAGAGGUUGACCGGCCACAUUGGGACUGAGAUACGGCCCAGACUCCUACGGGAGCAGCAGGUGGGGAAUAGUUGGGCAAGUGGGACGCAAGUCUGACCCAGCAACGCCGCGU